AGAACCCAGGUUGUCAGUGAAGUGAAGUGAAGUGAAGUGAACUCUCUCAGUCAUGUCCGACUCUUUGCGACCCCAUGGACUGUAGCCAGCAAGGCUCCUCUGUCCAUGGGAUUCUCCAGGAGUAUGCUGCAACACUGGAUCCUGCUUCCCCUGAGCUAAAAACCAAAUGUGGGGAUCCUAUUCAGCUCUCUGGAAAGCCCAAUGCAAUAAGCCUGCUCCUCUGUCCACAACGCCCCUUCGGAUGGAUGAAGACAACAGCUGUUGUUCUCACAUCUCCUCUUUCCAGCCAAACACUCCCAGAUUUUGCACCCAAUAUGAUUACCAAAUUACUACAGGAUUUAGCCGCCCUUGAGAAAGAAACAAGAAAGAACAAACAAUAGAAGUAGUUCCCUGAUGCCCAGGCUGGUGUCUUGCCUCUGGAUCGGCAGCCAGUACCGCAGUGAACUACCCGCGGAAAACAGUCACAGCCUGUUUGCCUUCCCCAGUCCCUCAGCUCCCACAGCCAAGCUGGACACCAGCUUGGACACUCCAGGGAUCUGUCUCCACCUAAACCUUGUCCCGUCCCUGCCCCUGACUGGCCCUUAUUUGAGCUGGGUCCAUUUUCUUGGCCACAUUGCUGACUGCAGUGCACGCUCAUUCCAGAAAAUGCCGACCUCUGCUCCAAGCCGCCUUGUCGGCAGUUUCCCAGACAUAGCUGGACUGUUUAUUUAUUUAUUUUUGUGUUAGCAGAGAGGAGAAAAUCACAUCGGCCUAAAAUGAAUACUAAUGAAAUGCCUUCGUUAGCUUCCUUUGUGAUCAGAAUGAAAAAUCGGAUUUCCGCAGAAUUGCAAGCCAUAUAUUUCUUUCCCCCAACCUUUUUCUCUUCUUUUUUUUUUUUUUUUUGCCCUUUCCUCUGAUAGGAAGAUUAGGGACAACCAAGAAGGAAAGUUAAAGUCAUUCCAUAAAAGAUAUCUGCAUUUUUAGGGGUGCCUUUGUUGCAGAGGGACAAGGAGGUGCAAUUUCUCCAAACCCAUUUUUCUC
ensembl:lncRNA